AUACAUAGGGGGCAAGCGUUAUCCGGAAUUAUUGGGCGUAAAGGGUGCGUAGGCGGUCUAUUAAGUCUGAGGUGUAAGUGCAGGGCUCAACCCUGUGAUGCUUUAGAAACUGGUAGACUUGAGUGAGAUAGAGGCAAGUGGAAUUCCAUGUGUAGCGGUAAAAUGCGUAAACAUAUGGAGGAACACCAGUGGCGAAGGCGGCUUGCUGGGUCUAUACUGACGCUGAGGCACGAAAGCGUGGGGAGCAAACAGGAUUAGAUACCCUGGUAGUCCACGCCGUAAACGAUGAGUACUAAGUGUUGCGAGAACGCAGUGCUGAAGUUAACAUAUUAAGUACUCCGCCUGAGUAGUACGUACGCAAGUAUGAAACUCAAAGGAAUUGACGGGG
rnacentral:rRNA from 1 species